rnacentral:lncRNA from 1 species
GCACACAUUUUAUUUGAAAGCAUUGAAUAAGUAGCUCAGGCUCUCGCUCAGACUUAAGGGGCUGAUGAACUACGCCCCCGCCGCAACCAGCUUUCUCUGCACCCCAAUCCAGCCCCGCUCCAGACGACGGGCUUAGAUUCUGCUAUCACGUAGGCAGUGAGCCUGGGGAAGAUGCGAUGCCUCCCUUGAAACCAUCAAGACAGAUAUCCGCUGGUUUUAGGGUGUCCCCCAAGGCAAGCAUCUGGGACGCCUCCGGCAUAUGCUCGCCCUCGGGGCCCGACCAGGAGGCUCCAGCUUUGCAAGGCGCCACCGCCCAGAGCUCAGGUCUGGGUUGGAAGGGUGGGCGGCACCGCCUCAGGGUACGUUCUCCCGACUUCGGAGAGAAAGAAAGGAAGAAAUGCACCCUAGGAAAAGGGGCUUCGACUUUUUGUGCCUGUGCUUUCAUGGAAGUCACCAGCUCUCGGCUGCUUAAGAUGCUACUCAGAAGCGCGCCCAGCCAGGCUGUGGCCAUCCGCGCCAAGUCCUCGUGUCCUGGUCGACGAGCACUUUGGGUAGCACCGCGACACACAAUAGCCACCACGGUUAGGAGAUAUGCUCGCUAUGCUUACCUGUUGGCAAAAAUAAAAUGCAAAAUAAAAAUUUAAAUUUGGAAACUAACACAUGGUGACAUCUUCUAGAACCACAGCUCUUUCUUCAGACAAAAGCCAAUUUUACCAUCCCGCAAACCCAUUGAGCCCUGGAAGUUCCGUUCGCGGCACUUUGGCGCCCUCUGGCUUUAUCAGGGUGGCUUGCUUGUUCUGCUUCGUCCUGAAAGAAUAGCGGAGGGGGGGGGGAAUGGAAAUGUAUGUUGCCUUCUUGGUUGGAUCUCCCCUCAUGAGUGAAGCACAGAUUUGGGAUGAGCUUGCCCUCCACGUCCGGAAUAACGAAACACAACUACAUUUAGGGAGACGAAUGCCAAAGAUCUCUUGCACAGUCCAGGAUUUAAAAGCUGUACAGGAAUUCACUCCUGAUCCUUUGAGCUGAAACAAACACCUACAGCUCCCCCAGUCCCUAUCUUGAUUGGAAAUGUGUACCCAAAGGUACAUACUCAAGACUACUGGUGUAAUUGUCACUGCUGAGCCCAAAGGAGAGAGCAUGAGUUAUAGGCCUGAAACUGAAGGCCUAUAAGGCCUGAAGGACAUUUAUAACAUGUCCUACAAUAUAAGAUAUCCCUGUAGUGGUUAAUGCUAUCAAUUUGUAGGGAAAAAAAAAUCUAGAAUCACCUAAGACAUUUACGAAUGAACAUCAUAUUCAUAAGGAAAUUUUCAUACCAAGUUAACUGAAAAUUGACAUCACCUAUUCCAAACGUGGAUGACAAUAUCACAUGAGCUACAAUCAGGAAAGGAAGAAAAGGGAACUGAACGCCAGCACUCCUGUCCCUCUGACUAGAUGCAAUGUGACCAGCAGGCUCGAACUUGCUGCACUUGGCUGUGCAGACGGAUUAUUUAUGUCAAAAGAAAUCUUCUUUCUUACGUUGCUUUUGUUGAGUAUUUUCAUCCAGCAAUAAGAAAAAAACAAACAAAAAAAACAAAAACAAAAAACAAAAAACCCCACGCACACCCCAACAGGAGAUUGGAAGCUUCUUUGGCUCUUACCUCAUUCCCUAAUGAAAGGGUUAAUUUGCUUCUAAGAUGAAAUUGGUUUGGCCCACUUCCCCACAUACUUACAGCUUGCAAGUUGUUCUUAAGCACCUUAGUCUUAAUGAAUUGCCAAGGACCAUGGGUACUAAAGAAAGCAUGCGAUAUGAAUGUACUAGCUGGUUUUUGUGUGUCAACUUGACAAGCCGGAGUUAUCACAGAGAAAGGAGACUCCCUUGAGGAAAUGCCUCCAUGAGAUCCAGCUGUAAAGCAUUUUCUCAAUUAGUAAUCAACUGGGGGAGGGCCCAGCUCAUUGUGGGUGGUGCCAUCCCUGGGCUGGUAGUCUUGUGUUCUAUAAGAAAGCAAGCUGAGCAAGCCAGGGGAAGCAACCCAGUAAGCAGCCCCCCUCCAUGGCCUCUGCAUCAGCUCCUGCCUCCAAGUUCCUACCCUGUGUGAGUUCCUGUCCUACUUCCUUUGGUGAUGAAGAGCAAUGUGGAAGUGUAAGCUAAAUAAACCCUUUUCUCCUCAA